UGAUUUUCCUAGACCACUGGACACAAGACUCAUACUCAGACUGACUAAUUGUCACUGACUGAUUGACAGACAAUUGGCUCAUUGAUUUAUUAAUUGGAACACAAUGAUCACCGUGAAGGCUGCGCUCUUGCUGUUUAUUGUCUGCCGCUGUACAGUCUCGCCUGUGGUUCCCACAGCCCUGUCUCAUGCCCUCGGGGAUGACACCCUGCCUGCUCUGGACAGUCUGCAGUGGGCGGCUCAGGACAGCUGCACGGACUGCACACAGAUCCUGAAACUCUUCUUAGACCUCAUGUCCAAUGCGGAUGCACAGGUGAGCAAGACAUCCACAC
rnacentral:lncRNA from 1 species